AGUGAACGCUGGCGGUAGGCUUAACACAUGCAAGUCGAACGGCAGCACAGUAAGAGCUUGCUCUUACGGGUGGCGAGUGGCGGACGGGUGAGGAGUACAUCAGAAUCUACUGUUUCGUGGGGGAGAACGUAGGGAAACUUACGCUAAUACCUCCUACGACCUACGGGUUAAAGCAGUGGAGCUUCGGACCUUGUGGGAUUGAAUGAGCCCAUGGCUGAUUAGCUAGUUGGGGGGGUAACGGCCCACCAAGGCGACGAUCGGUAGCCGGCCUGAGAGGAUGACCAGGGACACGGGUACUAAGAGAGGGAGCAGUGUGGAAUGUUGGGCAACGGGCGGGAGUCUGAUCCAGCGAUACCGCGUGGGUGACGGCGACGUUGGGGGUGUGAAGACGGUUUGUUGGGUGAGAACAGCAGCCGGUUAAGACGAAGCGGGAGUGACGGUACCCAAAGAAUAAGCACCGGCUAACUUCGUG
rnacentral:rRNA from 1 species